UUGCAUAGCGCAAAGGGAAUCUCUGGCCAGUGGUAUACUAUUGAGAGCAUACAACUGUUUCUACAGGACAGCGUCCAUGAUGAAGCUGUUAAUGAACUGAAAAAGUCCUAAGCAGAGAUCUGAAUAGGGAAACCACUAGACUCUAAGGUUCUCUACCAGCCACUCCAUGCCAAACAGGCAGUGAGCAUGCUCCUUAGAGCAAAAGAAGAAGGUGGUGCAGUGGCCUGUAGGGACAAGGCUAUGGAUUAUGCAGAACUCAACACUGUGACUGGUCUUACCCAUGAUGUGUGCACUGCACACACAGAGACAUCUGCUCUGAUUCUUUACAUCUUUAAAUUCAAGAACGAAGAAGUCUUUGUAUAGAAAAAUGAAUUAAAAUAGGGGCUUUCCAGUAGCAUCUUUACCAAAGAUUUGGGCAGAAUUUUCUGCUAGCUUGGAUCUAACUGAUCAGACUGUGGCAUUGUAAACAUCAAUAAUGCAAUGAAAGUGGCCAAGACUGGAAGUGCAUUUGGAAACAGAUGCACACUGGUAGUGGCAGGAGGUCAGACAGAGAUGCCUGAGGCAGGAUGGGAGAUCAACUGCAGUCUGGACCUUUCUCUGGCUCAAUGAAUCGAGUUUCAG
rnacentral:lncRNA from 1 species